rnacentral:rRNA from 1 species
GUGGGGAAUUUUGGACAAUGGGCGCAAGCCUGAUCCAGCAAUGCCGCGUGCAGGAAGAAGGCCUUCGGGUUGUAAACUGCUUUUGUACGGAACGAAACGGUCCUGGCUAAUACCCGGGGCUAAUGACGGUACCGUAAGAAUAAGCACCGGCUAACUACGUGCCAGCAGCCGCGGUAAUACGUAGGGUGCGAGCGUUAAUCGGAAUUACUGGGCGUAAAGCGUGCGCAGGCGGUGCUGUAAGACAGGCGUGAAAUCCCCGGGCUCAACCUGGGAAUUGCGCUUGUGACUGCAGUGCUGGAGUGCGGCAGAGGGGGAUGGAAUUCCGCGUGUAGCAGUGAAAUGCGUAGAUAUGCGGAGGAACACCGAUGGCGAAGGCAGUCCCCUGGGCCUGUACUGACGCUCAUGCACGAAAGCGUGGGGAGCAAACAGGAUUAGAUACCCGUGUAGUCC